UUAAAUCAUGAUCAGUGAAGUACAAUGAUGAUAAUGUAUAUGGUUCAGCCUUACUACUAAUUUCAGAGCAAAAGGGUAGAAUUUUGUUUUUCAAAUGUAAUGACUGAAGUUGAGAAAAAAAGAUAUACAUAGGACAACCUUCUGCUCUUGCUUUAGCCUUAGCUUGAGGUGAGAGCUUUUGAUAAUUCUGUAAAGUUUGGUUAAAGCAGGGAAAAGAAAGGCAUGACAGUAAAUACUUUUUAUAAUAUGUUCCUUGCAAAGGUUCCUGGGAUCAUUAGCAUCACAUCCUUCAGUGGUGGAGGCUGCGUGUGGGACCCUUUUUUACUGAAGACAAGAGACAGCUUGGGAUUGCACAAAUAACAAGCACUGUUACAAGAGCAGCUGUUGUACAUUGUACACUCAGAGCAGCAUCACUGGUGCAGACCUUCUCAUUACCUUCAGCUGAUGUUUUUGCCAUCUCCAGGCCUAAGGUCCAUUUAUGAGGCUCCAGCAGAACCUGCAUACAGUAGAUGCAGAAAGGAGAGAAAUUCAGAUGCCUAGGUGCUACCAAAUACGAUCUAGGACACCUACAGAUCUGCAUAUCUGGCAUUAACCUCCCACUCCAGAGCUGCGGGUGAGCAAUCAGUAAAUUCCAUCUGGUGCAAAGUCCAGGGAUCCGUGGUUAUCACACAAGAGAGGAGGAAAGCUGUCUCACUUAGAUAGGAAUCUGAUAAAAAUAACCUCCCAGGAGUCCCAAAGGGAACAUUCAUACAGGAUUGAUCUUGUCAUUUCAGUCUUCUUGCUCUUUAUUGAAGGAAAGAAUAAAAAGCCCCUUGCCUCCACACUCUUGAAAGAGAACAUCUUUCUGAAAAGGUGUUCAAAUAAGCUUCAGUCAACAACUAUGAUUUUGAACCCAUCCGGAACAACUGCCCUUAGCAAGAAGAAAGUCUUCCAAAGCAAAGUCGUCCUGUUUCAAGUGGAACUUUCCUAUGCCAGGCAAUGAGUUCUAGCUACACAGAAUGAAACCUAAGUCACUUUGAAACUGAAGUGCAUGCUGCCAUUGGUUUGAUGACCCAGGGUUAUAUUCCGGAAGAAGACUACAUAGGUAUGUAAGAAGAUAGUCUUUCUCUUGCAUCAGCUGAUGUUCUGCUGCCCACAAGAUCACUAUUGAGCUUAGUUUUGUAAAAGCAGAGAAAUAUUGUUAUUGUGAACAAAACUGAAUGCUUGCCUGGCCCAUCUUCUUUAAAGAUACAGACUUCAAAUGCUUCAGAUAAUACAAUGCGU
rnacentral:lncRNA from 1 species